UUUGUAGGCGGUUCGGUAAGUUAAAGGUGAAAUGCCAGGGCUUAACCUUGGAGCGGCUUUUAAUACUGCCAAACUAGAGGCUGAGAGAGGAUAGCGGAAUUCCUAGUGUAGAGGUGAAAUUCGUAGAUAUUAGGAGGAACGCCGGUGGCGAAGGCGGCUAUCUGUCUCAGUACUGACGCUGAGGUGCGAAAGCGUGGGAGC
rnacentral:rRNA from 1 species